rnacentral:lncRNA from 1 species
UUGUAAUCGCACCGCUGGCACGAGUUGUUGGAAUCUCAGCGCUGACACCCGUUGUUGCAAAUGGGUCGCAAGCCCCAAGGGUAGCGUUGGCCUGGCGGCCUGGGGCACAACUGGAAGCAUCCGAAGGUCCUGGCAAAGCAUGAGUCGACUGCUAACAGAACAACUUGUUUAUUCUAGCAUCGCAAAAGAGCGGCCGGUCAGGUCGACCGAAGUGGAGAGAUGGGAGAGCACGUUACUCAACAGAAGAAAUCGGAGCCGUCUCUCUUGGCGUCCGGGGGCAGCUGCUUUUAUACUCUCGCAGUUGAGGGCAAGAAGGAACGUCUC